GGGGUGUUAGCUCAGCGGUAGAGCAAUUGACUGCAGAUCAAUAGGUCUUCGGUUCAAAUCUGGAACGCCCCU
rfam:Neocallimastix californiae strain G1 LY90scaffold_467, whole genome shotgun sequence.